AUAAAAUGUUGCCAUAUCUCUUUAAUUCCCAGGUGAAGAAUAAUCCGAGGUCUAGUCGUCCACUUCCCUUCGGCUCACUAUAAAUUCAAGCCGAUGGAGAUGACGACGACGAUGAUCAUGACGGCGAUAUUGCUCCCGCAGCUUAAGAUAUAUAGAGACAAUAUCAUGAUGAGCUUAUGGUAUAUGCAGACAAUAGUAUAACAGGUUCCUAAGUGUUAACUUAUAAGUACUAAUACUACUUGAAAGCUUUCUUAUAUGGAUUUCAAUAAGGAGAUGUACGUUUUGCCUGUAGCAUGUAGACCUAGGGUUUGGUCUGAGAUGAUGUUGUGAGGUUUAUCCUCUCUUGUAUUACGAUAUGUGAGAGGGUUUAAAUAAAUAUGUAUCUAACAAAUGAGUUCAUAUGUAUAAUAGAAAAAUAUAGUUUAUGGUA